rnacentral:misc_RNA from 1 species
ACUGUAUACGACGUCGCCGUCACGGUCCUCAGAACAGAGGAAAAAAACGCGACAAACGUUUUGCUUGCGACGCAGCAGCAAACAGACUUCAGGAUCGAAUGAAAGGAACGAAAGGCGAGAACCAAGGCGAGCUGAGGCGUCUGCACCCCCGCGACGUACGGGCGCGAAAGCGACGCUGAAGACGGUGUCUAGUACGCGGUCUACGAGGUAGUUGCGCUCGGGGGCCGGCACCUGCUCUCGACCUGAACCCUCGGGAAGUGGAUAUUUGAUCUCCACAAGCAGGUGGACAAACGCUGGCACCUUUCGCAGCACGUGCUCUAAGGUCGGCAUAGAGUCGCGGAUUACCGACUGGUGUUGUCGACAGUGGACACAGAGGUGGUAUCCGCUGCGCGUUGGCUUCGCUUUUUCGGGUGCAGCGCUUGCCUCAGCGGCGCUGCUUCCAUCGAAUUGGCUCGAGACUUUUGACGACUUGUUCGACUCGCUGGGUAGUGUAACGAGCGACGCUGCCACGGACGCACCUCUCGACGGAUCGCACCCGAACUCGCUAGUGUUCAGUGCCCAGGGCGCCGAACUGUGAUCCAUAUGCCUGUUCAGGGCUUGGAAGCGCUCGGUUGGAGACGCCCGCUGCGCGUGGACGAAGGUGGUGACACCCUGAUCCCGGUCGGUUUCAAGUGAGCUUGGGAAAUCCAAAUCUUUUCGUCGCAGCAGCAACGCCGAUGCUCGCUUCCAUUCCUCGAGAUCCAUGGUGAAGAUGGGGCGCGCUACACAACAGCGACUUGGUCUGGCGUUCUGCGGACAGCGAGGGCGAUGUUGCGGCCUGGGCACGCCGUAUCCGCGUAUGAAGCAAGCUGCGGAGGAAGGAGAUUUCUCGCUGUCCUCGUCGUCGUCGUCGUCGUCGUCGUCGUCAUCGUGGUCGAUGUUGUCGUCCAGAGCAUUGGAUAGAUAGGGCAGCUGCUGCCCGCCCCAGUCUUGGGAGAUUUCCGGGCCGCUUGGGCAAGGAUAUACGCUGACCGAAGAGGCACGCUGCGGAAACAGGCCCACCUGCAGAGGCUCAGACUUUGGCUCCCAAAAAUUUGGCGCUGCUGACCAGUCCGCUUCGAAGCCGGACGGUCCAAAAAUAUCGGGUGGCGGAAUCGAUGCUGAAGCGCUAACCAUAUCUGGUGGCGCUCUCUGAGAGCUAACCAAGCGGCCAGAGGAGGCGGUGACGCUUGUGCUACCGAGCCUGCGCUGCGGGUGCGGUAGCCUCAGGACUGCAUCGUGGUGCACCACCGGUACUCCGUCUCGAGUGAGCUGAACAUCGAGCUCGACCGCCCGAACAUUCUUGCCUCGGAUAGCCGCAAGAAAGCUGAGCAACGUAUUCUCCUGCAACAACGACGUUGUCUGUUCGCCGUCUCCCCGAUGACCGAUGAGCGGCGUGCAGAGCAGCAUCGAUUCUUCCGCGGCAGCAGCGACGGGAAACGGAGCUUCCUCUGCAGAGUCUCCACUGAGCGUCGGGUCCGUUGCAGCGAAAUGCGCCAGAAUGAACCUGGGCGGCUUACUCCCGGGUCCACGAGUUUGUUCGAGGGCAGCGUUGAACGCAGCGCGGCUGUGCUGUCCCUGAUACGGCUCGAUCAACAUGUACGAAAAGACAAAUUCACCAACAACACGACCAAGAGCGGUCACAAUUGGCCUUUUCAUGCGGAAACCGAAGCGAUUCCCGUCUGCUGCGCGAUGAUCAUCUCUGAGGAGGAGCUCCGACCCGAGCACCGCCGCUCGACCAAGAUACAUGCGUUCGCUAACAUCCGAUCCCGGCUGCAGUGCGAAGAAAGCCACGACAAAAUCGAAAGCAUGAGGUGUGCCCUGAAACGCCACUGUACCCGACGGCGUUUGGUGUUGGCCCUCUUGAGGCAGACCAGCGCCCCGACGCGCCUGCAGCUCGGCGAACUCUGCAGUUAUGGACUCGGCGUAUGGCUGCGCAGGCUCCCCAAGCGGUGCAUGCAGCCGCACUCGCCACUUGUUCGCGCCAAACGAAGUCAUGGAGACGCGUUCAGCAAAACUUUCGAGGCUGACUAGCUCGGCGUCGCUGAUAACAAAGUCGAGCUCAAGGUCGGCGCCAACUACGGACCAGCCACAGCCAGCACGAAAGCGCACACUUGACGCCACACACGGAGCUGCUGGGGCACCGAGUGUCACGCGCAAAGAGCGCACACACUGCACGCCGGCGUCGUCUACCCACAGAGUGCCGGUCACCGGAGACCGUCUCCCUUCCAUAUGCGGUGUAAACCAGUCGCCCGGCCUCGAAGCGGUGCCCAUGAGCACGGAACCCACACGGUGCUCGUGCCCCGACUCCA